CAUGGGUAGAGGAGCCUGGUAGGCUCUAGUCCAUAGGGUCACACAGAGUCAGACAUAACCGAUGCAACUUAGCAUGCAUGCAUGCCAGAACUGUCGAACUCCUUAGAAUUCAUACUCCUUUGGGGAAUCAAAGUCUGGCAACAGUGUGAGUUCCCACCGACCCUCCAAUGAAAAUCAGCUGAUUCUCCUAUGGGUCUACCUUCUUCAGGGCCAGCCUGUGUCCUCCACGUCCAUCCAAGUCUUAAACCUGACCACCUUUGCAUCUCAUCUGGCCCAGGUGGGCUUUCUAGCCCAAGGUUGUUGAUGCUCAUGUGUCCUCACCAGAAUGCCAAAGACCAGUUAACCAGGCAGCCUCUUCCCUUUUCUUCAGCCCAGCCUCCUCCUCCCUCAUCCUUCAGAUAAAGUUCAUUUGGUUCCAAGCACCAGAGAGAGAGACAAGGCAGAGAGUGCUGGUAGAAGGCAGUGUGUGUAGUAAUCACACAAACAAACAUAUGCUUGCAAAAUCUCCACAGACGGGAAUUCUCCAACCUCUUUCUCUAAUCCAGUCCUAAUGUUCAGCAAUCUUCACUGUCAGGAAAUUCUGGCAUGAACAACCCAAAUCCUUCACGCAGCUUAAACCCAUUUCCUCUGACUCUCUGCUCACUGGAGAUGGGGAACAGCUGGUUACCGUUCUCUGUACCAAGUUCUUUGUCAACGAGAUGACUGGAUUCUGGCUCUGGACCACUGUCACAAUUAGGAUUCUGACCAGUUUCACUUUGUGCAGUCUGCAAAAGCACGUCAAAUGGGAAGAUACACUUCUGAGGAGGCUGUGCUUUAGAAAUGCGCCACUGGGGGAACAUGAUCCCUAGCCACACCACCAGGCUGCUCACAGUUUACAAACGUGUGAAUGUGAGGUUUCGGCAUGGAAAAAAAAUAAUACAUUUUUCUGAGACUAGCUCUGCAAAUGUGAACACAUCAAAGGAGACAAAGACUCCAUAAAAGACACUAAGAGAACCAAUACACAGAGUGAGCAUUUAUUAUGGGCUUUCUGUGCUCCUAUUACCUGUAUUACCUCAGAGACUGCACAUCUAGGCACUAAGGCAGAAAUUAGGAUUAGUCCUGCUUUCCAGGGGAGGACACUUGGCCACACAGAGGCUAACUUGUCAAGUUUAUACACCAGUGAGUGAGAGAAUAAGCACUGAAACCCAAGCCAUUGGAGUCUAGAGCCUACAACCCCUCAACCGUCUCUCCAUCCUGCCUGCAAACCCGUGCUGGCCCAGACAGCUCAUAGAAUGGAACACAGCCCCUGUGUUUCAAUGACUAUUGGGCAGUGAAGACCAGGAAGUCAUGGCAAAAACCCGGUGGCUGGUCCCUGAUAUAGCAGACUGGCAAAAUUCAAAGGAGCUUGAUGCCAUCGAGGUUGCCUUCUUCUUAUAUGCGGAGUCCGACAUGAGAUGCUUGGUCUCCACUUAAAGGCAGCCGUUAAGUGGUUCCCCAGGUCCCAGCUGGAAGACUUCCCAACUAUAUGCUCUGGGGCUUGACCUGAAUCAGAGGCCAGGUUCUGCCAAUUACCGCCUGGCUGCUCUGGAUCCCAGCCUGCCUGCCUCAGUGUCCCUGGCAGAAAAGUGGUGAUGAUGAAGCUGCUUCCUGGUGACACAUCUCUCAUCACUCUCCAUCCCCUGGUUGAGCUCUUUGACCUCGAUACCACAGUUCUUUGAUGCCCAGAGAAUACCUCCUGAAUGACCCAGUAACUCAAUUUUUCAGCAUAGCAUCCAAGACAUCAUGAAUUGCUUACUGGGAACUACUCAUCCCCCUUUGGCUUAUUAGCAAAAUCAAACUCAGACUGGACUUUGGGCAAUGGGGCAAGUCAACCUGGACGAUUCUUUUUCCCUUACCAGUCUCAUUUGCCAAAGACUUGGAUGUAACUAAGAGACUGAGCAACAAGAAAUUUUCAGCCUAGCAUUGAGUGGUUGAGAAUCUGUCUGCCAAUGCAGAGGACACAGGUUAUAUCCCUGAUCAGGGAAGGUUCCACAUGCUACAGGGCAACUAAGCUUGUGUACCACAACUACUGAACUCAUGUGCCACAAUUAUCACCGAAGCCUACACUUUAGAGUCUGUCCUCUGCAGCAAGAGAAGCCACUUGCAAGAAGAAGCCCACACAUGGCAACCAGAGAGUAGCCUCUGCUUGCUGCAACUAUUGGAAGCCCUUGCAUAGCAAUGAAGAUCCAGUGCGGCCUAAAUAAAUAUUAAUAAAUAACAUUUUUAAAAAAAGAACAGAUUGAAGAGCCAACUAGCCAACUUCCACUCUUCCCCUCUGCUUUUGUCAGUCUGGUUUCCUAAGUGUCCCUUUCUCAUGGCACACUCAUCCCACCACCUGUAUUUCACUCUGUGGUGCCCUCUUUCUGGAAUGUUCUCUCCAUCUCCUCCAACAUUACAAAUUCUCCUCAUUCUUCAAAACCCAUCCUAUCCUUUCUCUCAAGCCUCGUCCAGGGACAAAGCUCCCGGGCUUGUGUAUGAAUGAGCCAGGUGGUGGGUCCACCUAAGCCUAGUAUUGGGAGGACUUAAAGAGGGCAAUGU